CAGCCAACCCACUAAAACCAACCAACUGCCCACCAACAAUUCCCAACGAACUCCCCUCAGAACUAGUUUUAUAGACCCACUGACUCCACCCCCCUGGGUCCUGUCUGUGCAACCUAUUUAACUAUUUCCCCUCCAGCACUCUUUCAUAUAUGUUAACGUCACAAUAUGUUGCAGUACAGAGGGUUCAUCUACUAAUUUCAGUUUCUCUUAAAUUUUCAUCCUUCCAGUCUUAAACACAGUUCCACAUCAGCUUGCAAGAAUGUGUGUGUGUGUGUGUGUGUGUGUGUAAUAAGUUCUCGUGAAAAAUUCUCCAGCACUUUUGUUCAAAUACAGGUUUGUUUGCAAUUCUGCCUAAUAUUCACAUUUCUACGAAGUGAUAUUCCCUGAUAUAAUAUAAUAUAAUGCAUGUUCGCAACCCGCAGCGUUCGCAACCCGCAGAGGUGCAUCUGCGCACGGCGGGUUGCGAUUCGAUGCUUCUGCACAUGCGCAAAGCACAAUUUAGCGCUUCUGAGCAUGCGCAACCCCCAAAACCUAGAAGUAACCCGUUCCGGUACUUCCGGGUUUUGGUGGGUCCGUAACCCGAAAAAACGCAACCUGAAGCAUCUGUAACCUGAGGUAUGACUGUACAAUUCUGUGCGUUGUUUUCACCAAUAUAUGCAUUUUUAUGCAUGCUUCACCCAAGCAUAUGCAUUUUUAUGCACAUUACUUUGCUGGAGAAGCACGUCGCAAAAUUUGGAGAAGUGUGAAUUCUGAAGGAGGCUGCAAUUCAGUUGAUGUUACUGUUUUGGAAAGCACAAGUUUGCCUUUAAAUGAGAACUGAAUAGAAUUUUGCCCCCAUCGCUAUCUGGAGGGUUGGGGAAGGGUGACUGACAUAGAUGCAGCAUAACAUACAGUUCCCAUUGGCCCAAGAGAUAUCCGUGGAAGGGAUGGCUCCCCUUUCAAAUGGAGGACGUUGCUGGAAGAGAACUUUCGCUUAGGCAAAGGCCCUUGUAUGUCCUGGCACAUAUCUGCAUAUCUGACAUAUCUGUUCAGUCUGUACAUCAGUAACCAAACUAGUUAGUGUAAAGAUAACAAAAUACCCAGUACCUGUGGGGUCUGCCCUUGAAGAUGGUUUGGAGGCUGCAGCUCAUGUGGAAUGCAGCUGCUAGGCCGGUUAAGUGGGGCAGCCCCAUGGCACCGUAUGCCCUGAAAGCUCUGCACUGGCCCUGUUACUAAUGACCCUGCGAUCAGUGGUUGAGAUAUUUUUAACUGGUUGGGUUUUUAUUUUUUAACUGUUUUUAUUAUUAUUAUUAAUUAUUAUUAUUAUUAUUAUUAAUAAUAAUAAUAAAUUUAUACCCCCGCCCAUCUGGCUGGGAUUCCCCAGCCACUCUGGGUGGCUCCCAACAGUAUAUUAAAAACAUGAUAAAACACCAAACAUUAUAAACUUCUCUAAACAAGGCUGCCUUCAGAUGUCUUCUAAAAGUCAGAUAGUUGUUUAUUUCCUUGACUGAUGGGAGGGCAUUCCACAGGACAGGCGCCACUACUGAGAAAGCCCUCUGCCUGGUUCCUUGUAACCUCACUUUCUCGCAGUGAGGGAACCACCAGAAGGCCCUUGGAGCUGGACCUCAGUGUCUGGACUGAACGAUGGGGGUGGAGAUGCUCCUUCAGGUAUACUGGACCAAGGCUGUUUAGGGCUUUAAAGGUCAGCACCAACACUUUGAAUUGUGCUCGGAAACGUACUGGGAGCCAAUGUAGGUUUUUCAGGACCGUUGCUAUAUGGUCUCGGCGGCCACUCCCAGUCACCAGUCUAGCUGCCACAUUCUGGAUUAGUUGUAGUUUCCGGGUGAACUUCAAAGGUAGCCCCAUGUAGAGCGCAUUGCAGCAGGCCACGUGGGAGAUAACUAGAUAUGUUUGCUGUCCUGGGUACCAGCAGGAAAGGCAGCUUAUCACUUGGAUAACUAGUAAUAAUAACAUACCCUCCAACAUUUCUCUGAUGGUAACAGGGAUGUACUAAGGAAAAACAGGACAUUCCAGGAUCAAAUCAGAAACCAGGAUGUUUUCUGUAAAGCCAGGACUGUCCCUGGAAAAUAGGGACACUUGGAGGGUCUGUAAUAUUAUUAAUAUUAACAACAGCACUCUCUCCUCCAAAAGAAACAGAGACUGAACUUAGUUGUGAAGCUUACUGGGACAACUCUCAACUCACAGGGUUGUUGAGAGGAUAAAAUGGGGAGGAGGAAAACAAAGUAUGCCACUUGGAUAAAAGGUGGGGCAUAAAUCAAAUAUAUCAAUAAACAAUAAUCUAAACUCAUUCAUCUGACGGUAAACUGUCCUGAAAUCAUGGCAACUAUCUUCAGGCAAAUGAGUUCAGGGCUGUGGCAAAAGCAUCUCAAAGGCUUCCCUGAAGCAUUCACAUCUUAAGGGGGAUGGAGAACAGAGGGAGGGGGCAGACGCAAUAAGGAUUUCCUAGCAGAGGUGAAAAGGGAAAUUUGCUGUCUUAUUACAUGCAUCACUUCUCAAAAUUCCACCACCUUCAAUGGUACUUGCUCCAAGGUGUGUGUGUGUGUGUGUGUGUGUGUGUGUGUGUGUAGGAUUGCAACUUUAUAUUGAAAGGGGGGGCACUUUGUUUUCUAGCUACCAUCCUUUAUAUGGAAUACUAAGUCUCAC
rnacentral:lncRNA from 1 species